rnacentral:rRNA from 1 species
ACGAACGCUGGCGGCGUGCUUCACACCUGCCAGUCGCACGGAAAGGCCCUGCUUUUGUGGGGUGCUCGAGUGGCGAACGGGUGAGUAACACGUGAGUAACCUGCCCUUGACUUUGGGAUAACUUCAGGAAACUGGGGCUAAUACCGGAUAGGAGCUCCUGCUGCAUGGUGGGGGUUGGAAAGUUUCGGCGGUUGGGGAUGGGCUCGCGGCUUAUCAGCUUGUUGGUGGGGUAGUGGCUUACCAAGGCUUUGACGGGUAGCCGGCCUGAGAGGGUGACCGGCCACAUUGGGACUGAGAUACGGCCCAGACUCCUACGGGAGGCAGCAGUGGGGAAUAUUGCACAAUGGGCGGAAGCCUGAUGCAGCAACGCCGCGUGCGGGAUGACGGCCUUCGGGUUGUAAACCGCUUUCGCCUGUGACGAAGCGUGAGUGACGGUAAUGGGUAAAGAAGCACCGGCUAACUACGUG